rnacentral:rRNA from 1 species
GACGAACGCUGGCGGCGUGCUUAACACAUGCAAGUCGAACGGAAAGGCCCAGCUUGCUGGGUACUCGAGUGGCGAACGGGUGAGUAACACGUGGGUGAUCUGCCCUGCACUCUGGGAUAAGCCUGGGAAACUGGGUCUAAUACCGGAUAUGACCAACUGUCGCAUGGUGGUUGGUGGAAAGCUUUUGCGGUGUGGGAUGGGCCCGCGGCCUAUCAGCUUGUUGGUGGGGUAAUGGCCUACCAAGGCGACGACGGGUAGCCGACCUGAGAGGGUGAUCGGCCACACUGGGACUGAGACACGGCCCAGACUCCUACGGGAGGCAGCAGUGGGGAAUAUGGCACAAUGGGCGCAAGCCUGAUGCAGCGACGCCGCGUGGGGGAUGACGGCCUUCGGGUUGUAAACCUCUUUCGCCAGGGACGAAGCGUGAGUGACGGUACCUGGAUAAGAAGCACCGGCCAACUACGUGCCAGCCGCCGCCGUAACAC